rnacentral:rRNA from 1 species
UACGUAGGGGCAAGCGUUGUCCGGAUUUAUUGGGCGUAAAGAGCUCGUAGGCGGUUUGGUAAGUCGGAUGUGAAAUCUCCAGGCUCAACCUGGAGGGUCAUUCGAUACUGCCAUGACUAGAGUUCGGUAGGGAGUGUGGAAUUCCGUGGUGGAGCGGUGAAAUGCGCAGAGAUCAGGAGGAACACCGUAGCGAAGGCGGCACUCUGGGCCGAUACUGACGUGAGGAGCGAAAGCGUGGGGAGCGAACAGG